rnacentral:rRNA from 1 species
ACAGAGGUCCCAAGCGUUGUUCGGAUUCACUGGGCGUAAAGGGUGCGUAGGUGGUCGGGUAAGUCUGAUGUGAAAUCUCCGAGCUCAACUCGGAAAUGGCAUUGGAUACUAUCUGGCUAGAGGAGUGGAGGGGGGACUGGAAUACUUGGUGUAGCAGUGAAAUGCGUAGAUAUCAAGUGGAACACCAGUGGCGAAGGCGAGUCCCUGGACACUUCCUGGCACUGAGGCACGAAAGCUAGGGGAGCAAACAGGA